UGGGGCGUAGCCAAGUUGGUAAGGCAGCGAGUUUUGGUCCCGCUAUUCGGAGGUUCGAAUCCUUCCGUCCCAG
rnacentral:tRNA from 1 species